rnacentral:rRNA from 1 species
CCUACGGGAGGCAGCAGUGGGGAAUAUUGCGCAAUGGGCGAAAGCCUGACGCAGCGACGCCGCGUGAGGGAUGAAGGUCUUCGGAUCGUAAACCUCUGUCAGCAGGGAAGAACGGUCACUGUGCUAAUCAGCAGUGAAUUGACGGUACCUGCAAAGGAAGCACCGGCUAACUCCGUGCCAGCCGCCGCGGUAAUACGGAGGGUGCGAGCGUUAAUCGGAAUUACUGGGCGUAAGGCGCUCGUAAGCGGUAUGUCAAGUCAAGGGUGAAAUCCCCGCGCUCAACGUGGGAACUGCCUUUGAAACUGGCAAACUGGAGUGUGUGAGAGGAUAGUGGAAUUCCAGGUGUAGGAGUGAAAUCCGUAGAUAUCUGGAGGAACAUCAGUGGCGAAGGCGACUAUCUGGCACAUAACUGACGCUGAGGAGCGAAAGCGUGGGUAGCAAACAGGAUUAGAUACCCCAGUAGUC